GAGUUGAUCAUGGCUCGAACGAACGUUGGCGGCGUGGAUUAGGCAUGCAAGUCGAGCGAGGCCCGCUUCCUAGCAAUAGGAGGCGGAGUCGAGCGGCGUAAGGGGCAGUAAUACCUGGGGACGUACCCUCGUGUCGGGGAUAGCUACGGGAAACUGUAGGUAAUACCCGAUGACACUGAGAAGUCAAAGGCUUGCCGCACGGGGAGCGGCCCAGGCGCUAUUAGCUAGUUGGCGGGGUAACGGCCCACCAAGGCGAAGAUGGCUAGCGGGUGUGAGAGCACGACCCGCGCCACUGGCACUGAGACACUGGCCAGACACCUACGGGUGGCUGCAGUCGAGGAUCUUCGGCAAUGGGCGCAAGCCUGACCGAGCGACGCCGCGUGCGGGAUGAAGGCCCUCGGGUUGUAAACCGCUUUGGUCCGGAAGUAAGGUCGGCGUAAGCCGGCUUGAACGACCGGAGAAACAAGCACGGGCUAAGUUCGUGCCAGCAGCCGCGGUAAGACGAACCGUGCGAACGUUGUUCGGAAUCACUGGGCUUAAAGGGCGCGUAGGCGGCCGAGUGGGUCGUGGGUGAAAUCCCCCAGCUCAACUGGGGAAG
rnacentral:rRNA from 1 species